rnacentral:rRNA from 1 species
CAUAGCUGGGUAGCUAUGUGUGGACGGGAUAAGUGCUGAAAGCAUCUAAGCAUGAAGCCCCCCUCAAGAUGAGAUUUCCCAACUUCGGUUAUAAGAUCCCUCAAAGAUGAUGAGGUUAAUAGGUUCGAGGUGGAAGCAUGGUGACAUGUGGAGCUGACGAAUACUAAUCGAUCGAAGACUUAAUCAAAA